rnacentral:misc_RNA from 1 species
CCUCAAAUCCUACUAAAAGCCAUUACGUCCGCCUGCUCUCUGAUCUUGAUCCUGGAUAAUCGCUGUGAUCAGUGUCAGAAUUCUCUUUCUGAGAUUCAAUCUCCAUGCUGUCUCUUUGUGUUCUUCGAUGUCUGCGAUCCUCUCUCGGAAUAGGAUACUCUUCGGAUUCAAGCAUUCUUACAACUUGGCCCAUUUUAGGUCUUUUUUCAUAAUCAGGAUCAACACACCUCAAAGCAGUCAAGAG